GAAAUGCGAUAAGUAGUGUGAAUUGCAGAAUUCAGUGAAUCAUCGAAUCUUUGAACGCACAUUGCGCUUCCUGGUAUUCCGGGGAGCAUGCCCGUUUCAGAAUCAUUUAAAAUCUCAUCAACGUGGAUAGUUUCAACGGUAUCUGCGCUUGGUGGAUUUGGACCUUUGCCAAUGCAAUUGUCUCAAAUGCAUCGCCUGUGUAUCGAUUGCCAAAACUUUUGGGCUUUCGUUUGCUGAAGUGCAACAGAUUUUGUCUCUUCACUUUUUCAAGCGUUCGCAAUGAUCUAUACCCUGGUGCUUUCUUUGAAACAGCAAGCAGAUCAUCAUGACUUGCUUCUGAUAACUUGGUCUGAAAUCGGGCAAGAAAACCCGCUGAACUUAA
rnacentral:misc_RNA from 1 species